UGGGGAAUAUUGGACAAUGGGCGCAAGCCUGAUCCAGCCAUGCCGCGUGGGUGAAGAAGGCCUUCGGGUUGUAAAGCCCUUUUGUUGGGAAAGAAAAGCAGUCGGUUAAUACCCGAUUGUUCUGACGGUACCCAAAGAAUAAGCACCGGCUAACUUCGUGCCAGCAGCCGCGGUAAUACGAAGGGUGCAAGCGUUACUCGGAAUUACUGGGCGUAAAGCGUGCGUAGGUGGUUUGUUAAGUCUGAUGUGAAAGCCCUGGGCUCAACCUGGGAAUUGCAUUGGAUACUGGCAGGCUGGAGUGCGGUAGAGGUAGUGGAAUUCCCGGUGUAGCAGUGAAUGCGUGGNAUCGGGGAGGGAACAUCCGUGGCGAAGGCGACUACCUGGACCAGCACUGACACUGAGGCACGAAAGCGUGGGGAGCAAAACAGGAUU
rnacentral:rRNA from 1 species